rnacentral:rRNA from 1 species
AUUGAACGCUGGCGGCAGGCCUAACACAUGCAAGUCGAACGAGUGGCGGACGGGUGAGUAAUGUCUGGGCAACUGCCUGAUGGAGGGGGAUAACUACUGGAAACGAUAGCUCAUUACGCAUACAAUGGGAUGGCCCCAGAUGGGAUUAGCUUGUGGGUGGGGUAAAGGCUCACCUGGGCGACGAUCCCUAGCGGGUCUGAGAGGAUGACGAGUCACACUGGAACUGAGACACGGUCCAGACGCCUACGGGGGGAAGCAGUGGGGAAUAUUGGACAAUGGGCGCAACCCUGAUGCAGCCAGGCCGGGUGUAUGAAGAAGGCCUUCGGGUUGUAAAGUACUUUCAGCGGGGAGGCGUUACCCGCAGAAGAAGCACCGGCUAACUCCGUGCCAGCAGCCGCGGUAAUAC